rnacentral:rRNA from 1 species
GACGAACGCUGGCGGCGUGCUUAACACAUGCAAGUCGAACGGUGAAGCGCCUUCCUUUUUGGUGGGUGUGGAUGAGUGGCGAACGGGUGAGUAACACGUGAGUAACCCGCCCCCUUCUUCUGGAUAACCGCAUGAAAGUGUGGCUAAUACGGGAUAUUCUGGGUCUGUCGCAUGAUGGGUCUGGGAAAGAUAUUGUUUCGGUGGGGGAUGGGCUCGCGGCCUAUCAGCUUGUUGGUGGGGUGAUGGCCUACCAAGGCGGUGACGGGUAGCCGGCCUGAGAGGGUGGACGGUCACACUGGGACUGAGACACGGCCCAGACUCCUACGGGAGGCAGCAGUGGGGAAUAUUGCACAAUGGGCGCAAGCCUGAUGCAGCGACGCCGCGUGAGGGAUGGAGGCCUUCGGGUUGUGAACCUCUUUCGCCAGUGAAGCAGGCCUGCCUCGUUUGUGGGUGGGUUGACGGUAGCUGGAGAAGAAGCGCCGGCUAACUACGUG